UCCCUGCAUGUUAAAAAUAUAUAGUCAAUGAGAUCUUUUCUCCAGCAAUCUGCAUAUGCAUCAGUUUGUGUGUGUGUGUGUGUGUGAGAGAGAGAGAGAGAGGGAGAGAGAGAGGAGUAAGGGUUGGGAGAAGGUGGGGUUAACAGGGGCAGUUAUACCUGUGGUUUAACUUCAACAAUAUGUUGGCCCCGCUUAACAACAGCUGGUUCAUUUGCAAGGACAUUUUCAAGAUGAUCCAACAAUUCUUUGGCUUGGCAGGAUCCAAAGUCUGGGUCAGCAUCUUGAUGGUGCCAUACUAAAGCACUGUCCUUCACCUCUAUACUGGAGCCAUCGGUUGCUUCUGUAUACAGUCUCAUUACCGGUUCUACAAUCUCUUUCCAAUCAAGAUCAUCAGCAACAGAGUUGGUUACCCAUUCAGAGUUUUUAUUCCACCUGAAAAGAAACACAAAGAACAAAUAGCAUUGGCAUUUUAUGAUUAUUUCCAUUUCACAAACUGUUCUCAGACCAAAUCAUUCACAUACCUCGUGAAGUAUCCAUGUUCAGCAGCUAUUCCUAAUCUCUCACAUGGCUCAAGCCACUCACUCAAUGAACUUCUCCCUCUCCCACUAACAAUAAACACAGUGUUAUUGGGAUCAUUAGACAGAGUUUUCAGAACAGAGAUGACUUCAGGGCUAGGACUUUUAACAAUAGAAGUUUGAGGCACUACAGUACCAUCAUAGUCCAGAAAUAUUGCUCUUCUAUUUGUCCUUUUAUAUACUGAGACAAUGUGAUCAAUGCAUAACCUUCUAAAGCUAGGAGAAAGAGACACAACUCUGAAUCCUAGGCCAAAGCCAAUUCCCCAACACCUUUUAUUAUAAUGAUCUUGGCAAGCUCUCUCUAAAUCCUGCAUAAAGCUGCGUGACCAAUAAGAUACAUCGUGAGUGCUGACAUAACGGUAAUGCUUCUCAUGGCGCAAUUGCUUCUCAGAUUCACGCAUUGUGAUGGCCAAAUUCAAGGCAUCAGCCACAGCAUCAAUGUCCCAAGGGUUUACCCUAAUUGCUCCACUUAGAGAAGGUGAGCAACCAAUGAACUCGGACACAACAAGCAUGCUUGUCCGAGGAGAUUCUGAUCUUAUGCCCAUGGCUUCAUCCAUAUAUGGGGUUCCCUGCCUACAAACGAUAUAUUUGUAAGGAACCAAAUUCAUCCCAUCCCUGACUGCAUUCACUAUGCAACAUUCAGCUAAAGCAUAAUAGGCAGUCUUCGUUGGGAGAAGGUGGGGUUAACAGGGGCAGUUAUACCUGUGGUUUAACUUCAACAAUAUGUUGGCCCCGCUUAACAACAGCUGGUUCAUUUGCAAGGACAUUUUCAAGAUGAUCCAACAAUUCUUUGGCUUGGCAGGAUCCAAAGUCUGGGUCAGCAUCUUGAUGGUGCCAUACUAAAGCACUGUCCUUCACCUCUAUACUGGAGCCAUCGGUUGCUUCUGUAUACAGUCUCAUUACCGGUUCUACAAUCUCUUUCCAAUCAAGAUCAUCAGCAACAGAGUUGGUUACCCAUUCAGAGUUUUUAUUCCACCUGAAAAGAAACACAAAGAACAAAUAGCAUUGGCAUUUUAUGAUUAUUUCCAUUUCACAAACUGUUCUCAGACCAAAUCAUUCACAUACCUCGUGAAGUAUCCAUGUUCAGCAGCUAUUCCUAAUCUCUCACAUGGCUCAAGCCACUCACUCAAUGAACUUCUCCCUCUCCCACUAACAAUAAACACAGUGUUAUUGGGAUCAUUAGACAGAGUUUUCAGAACAGAGAUGACUUCAGGGCUAGGACUUUUAACAAUAGAAGUUUGAGGCACUACAGUACCAUCAUAGUCCAGAAAUAUUGCUCUUCUAUUUGUCCUUUUAUAUACUGAGACAAUGUGAUCAAUGCAUAACCUUCUAAAGCUAGGAGAAAGAGACACAACUCUGAAUCCUAGGCCAAAGCCAAUUCCCCAACACCUUUUAUUAUAAUGAUCUUGGCAAGCUCUCUCUAAAUCCUGCAUAAAGCUGCGUGACCAAUAAGAUACAUCGUGAGUGCUGACAUAACGGUAAUGCUUCUCAUGGCGCAAUUGCUUCUCAGAUUCACGCAUUGUGAUGGCCAAAUUCAAGGCAUCAGCCACAGCAUCAAUGUCCCAAGGGUUUACCCUAAUUGCUCCACUUAGAGAAGGUGAGCAACCAAUGAACUCGGACACAACAAGCAUGCUUGUCCGAGGAGAUUCUGAUCUUAUGCCCAUGGCUUCAUCCAUAUAUGGGGUUCCCUGCCUACAAACGAUAUAUUUGUAAGGAACCAAAUUCAUCCCAUCCCUGACUGCAUUC
rnacentral:lncRNA from 1 species